CACCAUUUUCAUGAUUUCCCAUUUCAUGAUAUUUACCAACGAUGAGUUUUGUUAUGUAAGCCCGUCUCGGUAGAAUAAUGGGGUUUCUUGUCUCGUAAGGCAAUUGUUCUGCCCAUUGUAGUCUCCCUUUCAUUCUCAAUAUACCGUUGUCAUCAAGAACGGGGUUCAAACUUCUAAUCGGACUUUGACGAGGUAUUUGCUGCCCAC
rnacentral:lncRNA from 1 species